rnacentral:rRNA from 1 species
AGUGAACGCUGGCGGUAGGCCUAACACAUGCAAGUCGAACGGCAGCACCGUAAGAGCUUGCUCUUACGGGUGGCGAGUGGCGGACGGGUGAGGAAUACAUCGGAAUCUACUUUUUCGUGGGGGAUAACGUAGGGAAACUUACGCUAAUACCGCAUACGACCUACGGGUGAAAGCAGGGGAUCUUCGGACCUUGCGCGAUUGAAUGAGCCGAUGUCGGAUUAGCUAGUUGGCGGGGUAAAGGCCCACCAAUGCGACGAUCCGUAGCUGGUCUGAGAGGAUGGUCAGCCACACUGGAACUGAGACACGGUCCAGACUCCUACGGGAGGCAGCAGUGGGGAAUAUUGGGCAAUGGGCGCAAGCCUGAUCCAGCCAUACCGCGUGGGUGAAGAAGGCCUUCGGGUUGUAAAGCCCUUUUGUUGGGAAAGAAAAGCAGCAGGUUAAUACCCCGCUGUUCUGACGGUACCCAAAGAAUAAGCACCGGCUAACUUCGUG